ACGCUUCUUCAGACGCUCAUUUCACCCCAAACCUCCUCCCUCUGCAGCCUCGUCUCCCUCACAUUCCUGCCUUCUCACCGUCGCAACCUCCUCCCUCUGCAGCCUCGUCUCCCUCGCCUUCUCGCCUUCUCACCGUCGCACCAGAGGCGUCGCCCCUCUCACCAUCGCCACUCUGCCGUCGCCGCUCCGCUCCUCCGCCGGUUUGCUUUCUCCCUUUCUCUCUUGCUCUUGCCGAUGCAUUCGCUUUCUCCCUUUCCCUCUUGCUGAUGCCUUUGCCACCGUUCUGUGGCCUUCUAUCUCUGCCACGAUCGAGCAAGCCAGCCAUAUCUCCAACCUUCCUUCAUUGCCAGGGCCGAGCAGUAGGGACAUCUGCAAGUGUCAAGUGACAGACCCUCAAGUUGCAAUUCGUCCCCUCUUUCACCAAGAGCAGAUCAUCGCCCUUUGCCAUCAAAUCCCACUGCCCGCCAGCAGCAGCAAGUCUUCUCCUCAGCAAAAUUAUAUUCAGGCAGGCUUCUUUCGGAUGCUAUCAUGUUCGUUGUAGAUUUGCAGGUUCAGUUAGGAUGUCUGUGGAGUUCACACAAUCUACUUCUGAAAAUAUUGUUAGGAUGUCUUCUACUGUAUGUUGAAGGCCGCUCUUUAGUAUGAAUUUGGUGGGAUUGUCUGUGGAGUUCACACAAUUUGUCUCUCUUGCUUGGUUUUUGGAGGCCCCAGUAGAAUUGAUAUGAAUGGUUGCUGUAGAUUUGUUGGGAUUGUCGGAAGCGGAGGGUUUUAGUAAUGUGCUUGAUAGUACUGAGGGUAAAGUGGUGAUGCCCCUACAGGAGGGAGAGAAAGGGAGCGUUGGACGGAUUAAUCUGCUUCUUUACAAACCGCUGUUUAGAUGGUCCAGCACUGUAUUGUAGUCACUUAUACAGUUAAAUGAAUUUCUUUGGGGAUGUAGCAUGUGAAAGAAUACCACUUUGUUCAAUACAUGGUUAAAUAGAAAAAAGCAGAAAAGAGACUGAAAAUAAGCAAAAAGAUUACAUGGUUACAUGAA